GACAGAGGUCCCAAGCGUUGUUCGGAUUUAUUGGGCGUAAAGGGCGCGUAGGCGGCCGGGCCAGUCCGGCGUGAAAGCCCGCAGCUUAACUGCGGAAGGGCGUCGGAUACUACCCGGCUCGAGGGUUGGAGAGGGGACUGGAAUUCUUGGUGUAGCGGUGAAAUGCGUAGAUAUCGAGAAGAACGCCAGUGGCGAAGGCGAGUCCCUGGACAACUCCUGACGCUGAAGCGCGAAAGCCAGGGGAG
rnacentral:rRNA from 1 species